rnacentral:rRNA from 1 species
ACCGCAUGGUGCAGGGGUCAAAGGAGCAAUCCGCUGAAAGAUGGGCUCGCGUCCGAUUAGCUAGAUGGUGAGGUAACGGCCCACCAUGGCGACGAUCGGUAGCCGGACUGAGAGGUUGACCGGCCACAUUGGGACUGAGACACGGCCCAGACUCCUACGGGAGGCAGCAGUGAGGGAUAUUGGGCAAUGGGGGAAACCCUGACCCAGCGACGCCGCGUGAGGGAAGACGGUCUUCGGAUUGUAAACCUCUGUCUUUGGGGACGAAAAAGGACGGUACCCAAGGAGGAAGCUCCGGCUAACUACGUGCCAGCAGCCGCGGUAAUACGUAGGGAGCGAGCGUUGUCCGGAAUUACUGGGUGUAAAGGGAGCGUAGGCGGGAAGGCAAGUUGGAUGUGAAAACUGUGGGCUUAACCGACAGACUGCAUUCAAAACUGUUUUUCUUGAGUGAAGUAGAGGCAAGCGGAAUUCCUAGUGUAGCGGUGAAAUGCGUAGAUAUUAGGAGGAACACCAGUGGCGAAGGCGGCUUGCUGGACUGAAACUGACGCUGAGGCUCGAAAGCGUGGGGAGCAAACAGGAUUA